rnacentral:rRNA from 1 species
GACGAACGCUGGCGGCAGGCCUAACACAUGCAAGUCGAACGAGUGGCGGACGGGUGAGUAAUGUCUGGGAAACUGCCUGAUGGAGGGGGAUCACUACUGGAAACGGUAGCUAAUACCGCAUACCAUCAGAUGUGCCCCGAUGGGAUUAGCUGGUUGGUGGGGUAACGGCUCACCAAGGCGACGAUCCCUAGCUGGUCUGAGAGGAUGACCGUCCACACUGGAACUGCGACACGGUCCAGACGCGUACGGUAGUCAUCAGUGGGGAAUAUUGCACAAUGGGCGCAAGCCUGAUGCAGCCAUGCCGCGUGUAUGAAGAAGGCCUUCGGGUUGUAAAGUACUUUCAGCGGGGAGGCGUUACCCGCAGAAGAAGCCCCGGCUAACUACGUGCCAGCAGCCGCGGUAAUUC